rnacentral:lncRNA from 1 species
AUGAACCGUGAAAUUCUUGAUGUUCAAGCUGGUUUUAGAAAAGGCAGAGGAACCAGAGAUCAAAUUGCCAACAUCCGCUGGAUCAUGGAAAAAGCAAGAGAGUUCCAGAAAAACAUCUAUUUCUGCUUUAUUGACUAUGCCAAAGCCUUUGACUGUGUGGACCACAGCAAACUGUGGAAAAUUCUGAAAGAGAUGGGAAUACCAGACCACCUGACCUGCCUCUUGAGAAAUCUGUAUGCGGGUCAGGAGGCAACAGUUAGAACUGGACAUGGAACAACAGACUGCUUCCAAAUAGGAAAAGGAGUGCAUCAAGGCUGUAUAUUGUCACCCUGCUUAUUUAACUUCUAUGCAGAGUACAUCAUGAGAAACGCUGGACUGGAAGAAACACAAGCUGGAAUCAAGAUUGCCAGGAGAAAUAUCAAUAACCUCAGAUAUGCAGAUGACACCACCCUUAUGGCAGAAGGUGAAGAGGAACUAAAAAGCCUCUUGAUGAAAGUGAAAGAGGAGAGUGAAAUAGUUGGCUUAAAGCUCAACAUUCAGAAAACGAAGAUCAUGGCAUCUGGUUCCAUCACUUCAUGGGAAAUAGAUGGGGAAAUGGUGGAAACAGUGUCAGACUUUAUUUUGGGGGGCUCCCAAAUCACUGCAGAUGGUGACUGCAGCCAUGAAAUUAAAAGAUGCUUACUCCUUGGAAGAAAAGUUUUGAGCAACCUAGAUAGCAUAAUCAAAAGCAGAGACAUUACUCUGCCGACUAAGGUCCAUCUAGUCAAGGCUAUGGUUUUUCCAGUAGUCAUGUAUGGAUGUGAGAGCUGGACUGUGAAGAAGGCUGAGCACCGAAGAAUUGAUGCUUUUGAACUGUGGUGUUGGAGAAGACUUUUGAGGGUCCCUUGGACUGCAAGGAGAUCCAACCAGUCCAUUCUGAAGGAGAUCAGCCCUGGGAUUUCUUUGGAAGGACUAAUGCUAAAGCUGAAACUCCAGUACUUUGGCCACCUCAUGAGAAGAGUUGACUCAUUGGAAAAGACUCUGAUGUUGGGAGGGAAUGGGGGCAGGAAGAGAAGGGGACGACAGAGGAUGAGAUGGCUGGAUGGCAUCACUGACUUGAUGGACGUGAGUCUGAGUGAACUCUGGGAGUUGGUGAUGGACAGGGAGGCCUGGUGUGCUGCAAUUCAUGGGGUCACAAAGGGUCAGACAUGA